GAAAUAUCAAAUGGCGCCAUUAUUUGGCCCGUAGAAACGCAGCUACAGUAGCUAACACCGACUCUCCUCGCUUGGCUACAAAUGGCGUGUAAACAGCAGAGGGAAAACAAACAGCAGCAGCUUUUACCUGUUACUGGGGACAUAAAGGCGGAAGUGACGGACGUGGGAGGCAUCCUUAGAGAUGACGAUGUUUCCGGUAAACUGACCCGGGGUGAACCAGAAGGGAAAGUUUGGAACAUCAUUGAGCUGGAACUCUGCGUGGAUCCUGCAGAUGCUGUUAUGCUCCAAACAGGAAGUUGUUAGCUUCCUCACCUGAAGACGAUGUCAUAGUAAAAGUCGCUGCUGGCUCGGAUGCAGGCGACGGUUCCCUGCGGUGCAAACCUCGACUUGAUGAAAGGCCGCGGGUGGAACAUGCUCAGCAGGGAGUGGAUCAGAACCUGCAGCAGAACCAGAACAUUGGAUCAGAACAAAACCCAAACUAACCCAAACACACCGAGCUGGAGUGCUGGAUCACCUCUUUGCCCUUUGGGGUUGGAGGGUGGUAGCGGUUGUUGGGCAGGUAGCCAGUGAAGAUGUUGAGCUCACUGGGAAUGACCCACCAUGCGUCUCCCGGCUGCGUUUUGCCCUUUGGGGGCAGAAACACCCGGAAGUGUCCGGCGGGGAACGAGGAGGAGGGAACGACGGGUUGCGUCCAGGAGCGGAGGCCACUCAGCGAGCUGUGAGAAACCUGCACAAAAACAAGACCGCUUCGUACAUUUCAACACUUUUUGGAUGCUUUUCAGUUAAUGGUUUUUACCCCAAGAAAGCCGUCGCGGCUUUUUGUCAUGGAGUCCAGCAGCAGAGGCUUCAUGCUGGCCUCCAGAACCAGAGUCUCUCCGUUUGGGUCGUCGAUCACGUCCUCUUCCAGAUCCACCGGCGCUGUGAUCCCUGCAAGGGAAACACAGUUACAGAUCCUUGGAAAAGGACUUUCAUCCCCUAAACUUAAUACAACCACAGACCUGAAGGUG